AUGCAUAAACAGAAGUCAGUUUCACUAACAGGAAUACAAGUUUAGGAUCCGCAUGAUAUGCAUUUUAUCUUUGGAUCACUAAGAAACAACACAAGAAUAACAAUGCGAAGAUCUCUUCUUUCUUUGAUUUUAGCCUGUGCUCUGAGUUCUACAUCUGGAGGUGAUGUUCGACUGGUCAAUGGUAGUAAUCCCUGCUCUGGUAGAGUUGAGGUCUUUCACAAUGGUAGUUGGGGAACUGUGUGUGAUGAUGAUUGGGACAUUUAUGAUGCUGCUGUGGUGUGCAGACAGGUGGG